GAUGAACGCUGGCGGCGUGCCUAAUACAUGCAAGUCGAGCGAACGGACGAGAAGCUUGCUUCUCUGAUGUUAGCGGCGGACGGGUGAGUAACACGUGGAUAACCUACCUAUAAGACUGGGAUAACUUCGGGAAACCGGAGCUAAUACCGGAUAAUAUUUUGAACCGCAUGGUUCAAAAGUGAAAGACGGUCUUGCUGUCACUUAUAGAUGGAUCCGCGCUGCAUUAGCUAGUUGGUAAGGUAACGGCUUACCAAGGCAACGAUGCAUAGCCGACCUGAGAGGGUGAUCGGCCACACGGGAACUGAGGCACGGUCCAGACUCCUACGGGAGGCCGCAGUAGGGAAUCUUCCGCAAUGGGCGAGAGCCUGACGGAGCAACGCCGCGUGAGUGAUGAAGGUCUUCGGAUCGUAAAGCUCUGUUAUUAGGGAAGAACAUAUGUGUAAGUACCUGAGCAGAUCUUGACGGUACCUAGUCAAGAAGCCACGGCUAACUACGUG
rnacentral:rRNA from 1 species